CCUACGGGAGGCUGCAGUCGAGAAUCAUUCACAAUGGGGGAAACCCUGAUGGUGCGACGCCGCGUGGGGGAAUGAAGGUCUUCGGAUUGUAAACCCCUGUCAUGUGGGAGCAAAUUAAAAAGAUAGUACCACAAGAGGAAGAGACGGCUAACUCUGUGCCAGCAGCCGCGGUAAUACAGAGGUCUCAAGCGUUGUUCGGAAUCACUGGGCGUAAAGCGUGCGUAGGCUGUUUCGUAAGUCGUGUGUGAAAGGCGCGGGCUCGACCCGCGGACGGCACAUGAUACUGCGAGACGAGAGGAAUGGAGGGGGAACCGGAAUUCUCGGGGUAGCAGUGAAAUGCGUAGAUAUCGAGAGGAACACUCGUGGCGAAGGCGGGUUCCUGGACAUUAACUGACGCUGAGGCACGAAGGCCAGGGGAGCGAAAGGGAUUAGAGACCCCUGUAGUC
rnacentral:rRNA from 1 species